CUGCUCUGGCUUGGGCAUGAGGGCAAACUGUCAGUAGUGAGGAGAUGCUAAAAUAUCUUUCAUCUCUUGAUUCCACAGCUGUGGCCUUGUCUUGGAAGAGUCUCCAGGAAGCCAAAGCAGUGCUACAAAGGAUUGAAAACAAAUUUUAUCAUCAAACGUGGAGCUGUGCCAAAUCACAGGCAGCCAGAAGAAAGCUUUGGCACGAAAAGAGCUUUGAUGCCAAGAGGAACAAAGAUGAAACAGCUUUGAGUGAGAAAAAGAGCAAUGAGAUUGCUGCAGCCCACAGAGAGGGAAGCUCUGCUGGUC
rnacentral:lncRNA from 1 species